rnacentral:rRNA from 1 species
AAAGGAAUUGACGGGGGCCCGCACAAGCGGUGGAGCAUGUGGUUUAAUUCGAUGCAACGCGAAGAACCUUACCAAGAUUUGACAUCCCUUUGACAGGGCUAGAGAUAGCCCCUCCCCUCGGGGCAAAGGAGACAGGUGGUGCAUGGUUGUCGUCAGCUCGUGUCGUGAGAUGUUGGGUUAAGUCCCGCAACGAGCGCAACCCUUACCCUUAGUAGCCAUCAUUGAGUUGGGGACUUUAGGGGGACUGCCGUGGAUAACACGGAGGAAGGCGGGGAUGAGGUCAAAUCAUCAUGCCCUUUAUGUCUUGGGCAACACACGUGCUACAAUGGCUGCAACAAAGUGAAGCAAGCCGGCGACGGCGAGCCAACCACAAAAAAGCAGUCUCAGUUCGGAUUGCAGUCUGCAACUCGAGUGCAUGAAGCUGGAAUCGCUAGUAAUCGCGAAUCAGCAUGUCGCGGUGAAUACGUUCCCGGGCCUUGUACACACCGCCCGU